GCACUUCCUGUUUGGAUCAGCCGACUAACUCAAUGAUAAUUGCUCCGUCUCUAAGCAGUUUGAAUCUAUAAAUAGAAUAACAAAAGGAAGGAAACGAAAUUUUAAACUGAUUUCCGCCAUUAAAAAAAUAACAUGAAACCUACAGUUCACGACACAUCGCAUAGGAAUUUAAAAUAAAUAUUAGGCCUAUAGGUUUAAUACAUAUUGCAUAGAAUAUAGAAAUUUAGAUCUAGUGUUCUGGUUAGUAGUUAUUUCAUGUUUAUUAGAAUAUAGUCUAGAAUCUAAUCAUACGGCUGCAUAAAAAGAAAGUUUGAAGGAAAUAGAAUAGGAAUCUAGAGAAGCGGAGUGUUUUCCGCACUCGAGAGGAAAGAGGUUGCAGGGAACUUAGAGACUAAUCUUUGCCAACAUACUGGAUUUCUGGUGAUGACAAUAGCAGCAGAUAGUAUGCGGCUCAGUUAAUACUAAAAACAAUUGAUUUUACUAAUUAGUGGACUAUGAGUGUGUGUUUGGCCAUCCAGAUUUCAUAACUACAACUGAUGUUCAAUUACAAGGGAUAUUAAUCAGUCUCCGUGGACUAUACACUGUGCCUAGUUUCAUCCUCAGAGACUGAUGUGUAAGCUUAAAGUAAAGACAUCAAAUCAAAGUAUCAGCCAUCAAGAGGAAAAACAUUCAAAAUCAUAUUGUGAUACACAAGUCAAGCAAGUCUGACCAGCAUUUUGAUACAGGCCAAGAAAAAGCUGGAUACUUGAUUGGAAGGGUCGCACAAAAAACAUGGGUUAUCACUAGGGAAACAAGCUCGCAAUACAGUUCACUGGUUAGGACAGCAAGCCAAAUACUUCUAAACUUAUUUGAAUCAUUUUUGCUGUUUAUUAUAAUUCAUCCAAUUGUCUUAUUAAAUAUAUAAAUUUAUAUAUAUACACAAUUCCUAAUAUAGAAUUUCUAAAAAUGUUUUAUUAUAAUAUUUAAAAAUGAAACAAACAUGUUCCCAGAACACAGCCACAUAAUGUCAACAUGUUCCCAGAACACAGCCACAUAAUGUCAACAUGUUCCCAGAACACAGCCACAUAAUGUCAACAUG